rnacentral:rRNA from 1 species
GACGAACGCUGGCGGCGUGCUUAACACAUGCAAGUCGAACGAAGUGGCGAACGGGUGAGUAACGCGUAAUCAACCUGCCCUUUAGAGGGGGACACCAGUUGGAAACGACUGCUAAUACCGCAUACUGAAGGAGGGGAUUGCGUCGGAUUAGCUAGCUGGAGGGGUAACGGCCCACCAAGGCGAUGAUCAGUAGCCGGUCUGGGAGGGUGGACGGCCACAUUGGGACUGGGACACGGGCCAGACUCCUACGGGGGGGAACAGGGGGGAAUCUUCCGGAAUGGGCGGAAGUCUGACGGAGCACAGCCGGGUGGAUGGUGACGGCCUUCGGGUUGGAAAGCUCUGUUAAUCGGGGCGCGGUACCGGAAUAGAAAGCCACGGCUAACUACGUGCCAGCAGCCGCGGUAAUUC